rnacentral:rRNA from 1 species
AUGCUCUGUUUAUUAGGUGCCCAGCCCAGUGGUUCUGGAUCUGACCCUGAGCCCAGAGGGUUUUCUCCUCGGCUUUAUUAUUCAGUUCGCUGGAGAUUUAUUUGUUUAUUGUUAGUGCAUGGAAAGAUGGCGUCCCACAUUGUCGGAUACCCGCGCAUGGGCCCCAAGAGGGAGCUCAAGUUUGCCCUGGAGUCUUUCUGGGAUGGCAAGAGCAGCGCCGAGGAUUUGGAGAAGGUUGCCACCGACCUCAGGGCCAGCAUCUGGAAGCAGAUGGCUGAUGCUGGGAUCAAGUACAUCCCCAGCAACACCUUCUCCUACUAUGAUCAGGUUCUUGACACCACCGCCAUGCUCGGUGCCGUCCCAGACCGUUACUCAUGGACCGGUGGGGAGAUCAAUUUGAGCACCUACUUCUCGAUGGCUAGGGGUAACGCCACCGUCCCUGCUAUGGAGAUGACCAAGUGGUUCGACACCAACUACCACUUUAUCGUCCCUGAAUUGGCUCCUAGCACCAAGUUCUCCUACUCUUCUCACAAGGCUAUCAAUGAGUACAAGGAGGCUAAGGCGCUUGGCGUUGAUACCGUCCCAGUACUUGUCGGACCAGUCUCAUACUUGUUGCUCUCAAAGGCCGCCAAGGGUGUAGAGAAAUCAUUCUCUCCCCUUUCCCUUCUUAGCAGCAUCCUUCCCGUCUACAAGGAGGUUAUUGCUGAGUUGAAGGCAGCUGGCGCUUCAUGGAUUCAGUUUGAUGAGCCCACCCUUGUUAAGGACCUUGAAUCCCACCAAUUGUCUGCAUUCUCUGCAGCUUACGCAGAACUUGAGUCCGCACUUUCUGGAUUGAACGUUCUUGUUGAGACCUACUUCGCUGACGUUCCCGCAGACUCGUACAAGACUCUUACAUCAUUGAGCAGUGUGACUGCUUAUGGUUUUGACCUUGAACGUGGAACCAAGACUCUUGAGCUUGUCAAGAGUGGUUUCCCUGCUGGAAAGUACCUCUUUGCUGGUGUCGUAGAUGGACGCAACAUUUGGGCUGAUGACCUUGCUGCAUCUCUCGCCACUCUUCAGUCUCUUGAGGCUGUUGUUGGGAAGGACAAGCUUGUCGUAUCGACUUCCUGCUCACUCAUGCACACUGCUGUGGACCUUGUAAAUGAGACCAAGCUUGAUGAUGAGAUUAAGUCAUGGCUCGCAUUUGCCGCCCAAAAGGUCGUUGAGGUGAACGCCCUUGCCAAGGCAUUGGCUGGUCAAAAGGAUGAGGCUUACUUUGCAGCAAAUGCUGCUGCUCUGGCCUCAAGAAGGUCGUCACCACGUGUCACAAAUGAGGAGGUCCAGAAGGCUGCUACUGCCCUCAAGGGCUCUGAUCACCGCCGUGCUACCACCGUUAGCGCUAGGUUGGAUGCGCAGCAGAAGAAGCUCAACCUUCCGGUCCUUCCCACGACCACCAUUGGAUCAUUCCCACAGACCGUGGAGCUCAGGAGAGUCCGCCGUGAGUACAAGGCAAAGAAGAUCUCUGAGGAGGAGUACACCAAUGCCAUCAAGGAGGAAAUUAGCAAGGUUGUUAAGAUCCAAGAAGAGCUUGACAUUGAUGUGCUUGUGCACGGAGAGCCAGAGAGGAACGAUAUGGUUGAGUACUUCGGUGAGCAGCUCUCUGGUUUCACAUUCACUGCCAAUGGCUGGGUGCAAUCUUAUGGAUCAAGGUGUGUCAAGCCACCGAUUAUCUACGGUGAUGUGAGCCGCCCCAACCCCAUGACUGUGUUCUGGUCCAAGAUGGCACAGAGCAUGACUGCUCGCCCAAUGAAGGGAAUGUUGACAGGCCCUGUCACAAUCCUUAACUGGUCUUUUGUUAGAAAUGACCAACCGAGGUUUGAGACUUGCUACCAGAUUGCUCUUGCAAUCAAGAAGGAGGUCGAGGACCUUGAGGCUGGUGGUAUUCAGGUCAUCCAAAUUGACGAGGCUGCUUUGAGAGAGGGUCUGCCACUCCGCAAGUCUGAGCAUGCUUUCUACUUGGACUGGGCCGUGCACUCCUUCAGGAUCACCAACUGCGGUGUGCAGGACACCACCCAGAUCCACACCCACAUGUGCUACUCCAACUUCAACGACAUCAUCCAGUCCAUCAUCAACAUGGACGCUGAUGUGAUCACCAUCGAGAACUCGCGGUCCGACGAGAAGCUUCUGUCCGUCUUCCGCGAGGGUGUGGUGUACGGUGCUGGCAUUGGCCCGGGUGUGUACGACAUCCACUCCCCCAGGAUCCCGUCCAAGGAGGAGAUUGCCGACCGUGUCAACAAGAUGCUCGCGGUCCUGGACACCAACAUCCUGUGGGUGAACCCUGACUGCGGUCUCAAGACCCGCAAGUACGCCGAGGUCAAGCCUGCCCUCACCAACAUGGUUGAGGCCGCCAAGCAGAUCCGUGCCGAGCUCGCCAAGGCGCAGUAA